rnacentral:rRNA from 1 species
UCGGGAAUUUUGGACAAUGGGGGAAACCCUGACCCAGCAACGCCGCGUGAAGGAUGAAGUAUUUCGGUAUGUAAACUUCGAAAGAAUAGGAAGAAUAAAUGACGGUACUAUUUAUAAGGUCCGGCUAACUACGUGCCAGCAGCCGCGGUAAUACGUAGGGACCAAGCGUUGUUCGGAUUUACUGGGCGUAAAGGGCGCGUAGGCGGCAUGACAAGUCACUUGUGAAAUCUCUGGGCUUAACCCAGAACGGCCAAGUGAUACUGUCGCGCUAGAGUGCAGAAGGGGCAAUCGGAAUUCUUGGUGUAGCGGUGAAAUGCGUAGAUAUCAAGAGGAACACCUGAGGUGAAGACGGGUUGCUGGGCUGACACUGACGCUGAGGCGCGAAAGCCAGGGGGA